AGCAGCCGCGGUAAUUCCAGCUCCAAUAGCGUAUAUUAAAGUUGUUGCAGUUAAAAAGCUCGUAGUUGAAUUUCGGGGUCAAUAAGUUGGUCAUGCCAAUGGUAUGCACUGGCUUUAUUGAUUCCUACCUCUUGACGAACUGUGAUGCCAUUAAUUUGGUGUUGCAAGGAAUCAGGACUGUUACCUUGAAAAAAUUAGAGUGUUUAAAGCAAGCUUACGCUUGAAUACAUUAGCAUGGAAUAAUGAAAUAGGACGUUUGAUCCUAUUUUGUUGGUUUCUAGGAUCGACGUAAUGAUUAAUAGGGAUAGUUGGGGGCAUUAGUAUUCAAUUGUCAGAGGUGAAAUUCUUGGAUUUAUUGAAGACUAACUACUGCGAAAGCAUUUGCCAAGGAUGUUUUCAUUAAUCAAGAACGAAAGUUAGGGGAUCGAAGACGAUCAGAUACCGUCGUAGUCUUAACCAUAAACUAUGCCGACUAGGGAUCGGAUGAUGUAAUUUUUAAUGUA
rnacentral:rRNA from 1 species